rnacentral:rRNA from 1 species
CGGAAGUCGUACAAGGUAGAGUUUGCUCUUAUGGGUGGAGAGUGGCGCGACGGGUGAGGAGUACGUCGGAAUCUACUUUUUCGGGGGGGAUAACGUGGGGAAACUUACGCUAAUACCGCAUACGACCUACGGGUGAAAGCAGGGGACCUUCGGCCCUUGCGCGAUUAAUGAGCCGAUGUCGGAUUAGCUAGUUGGCGGGGUAAAGGCCCACCAAGGCGACUAUCCGUAUCUGGUCUGAGAGGAUGAUCAGCCACACUGAAACUGAGACACGGCCCACACUCCUACGGGAGGCAGCAGUGGGGAAUAUUGGACAAUGGGCGCAAGCCUGAUCCAGCCAUACCGCGUGGGUGAAGAAGGCCUUCGGGUUGUAAAGCCCUUUUGUUGGGAAAGAAAUCCAGCCGGCUAAUACCUGGUUGGGAUGACGGUACCCAAAGAAUAAGCACCGGCUAACUUCGUGCCAGCAGCCGCGGUAAUACGAAGGGUGCAAGCGUUACUCGGAAUUACUGGGCGUAAAGCGUGCGUAGGUGGUUGUUUAACUCUGUUGUGAAAGCCCUGCUCUCAACCUGGGAACUGCAGGAAACUGGACAACUAGAGUGUGGUAGAGGGUAGCGGAAUUCCCGGUGUAGCAGUGAAAUGCGUAGAGAUCGGGAGGAACAUCCAUGGCGAAGGCAGCUACCUGGACCAACACUGACACUGAGGCACGAAAGCGUGGAGAGCAAACAGGAUUAGAUACCCUGGUAGUCCACGCCCUAAACGAUGCGAACUGGAUGUUGGGUGCAAUUUGGCACGCAGUAUCGAAGCUAACGCAUUAAGUUCGCCGCCUGAGUACGGUCGCAAGACUGAAAUUCAAAAGAAUUGACUGGGCCCCCGCACAGCUGUUGUAUUAUGUGUUUUAAUUCUAUGCAACACGAAGAACCUUACCUUGCCUUGACAUGUCGAGAACUAUACAAAGAAUGAAUUGUUGCCUUUCGGCAACUCGAAACCCAGGACUGCAUGGCUGUCGGUCGCCUCCUCUCAUCAAAAUGAUGGGAUAAAUCCCCCAACGAGCGCCACCCCUUUCCUUAUUUUUCCAGCCGCGUAAUGGGCCCUAAUAAAGAAACCCCCCCUCCAACCCCAA